GACGAACGCUGGCGGCGUGCCUAAUACAUGCAAGUCGAGCGAGUCUGCCUUGAAGAUCGGAGUGCUUGCACUCUGUGAAACAAGAUACAGGCUAGCGGCGGACGGGUGAGUAACACGUGGGUAACCUGCCCAAGAGAUCGGGAGAACACCUGGAAACAGAUGCUAAUACCGGAUAACAACAGAUGAUGCCUAUCAACUGUUUAAAAGAUGGUUCUGCUAUCACUCUUGGAUGGACCUGCGGUGCAUUAGCUAGUUGGUAGGGUAACGGCCUACCAAGGCGAUGAUGCAUAGCCGAGUUGAGAGACUGAUCGGCCACAUUGGGACUGAGACACGGCCCAAACUCCUACGGGAGGCAGCAGUAGGGAAUCUUCCACAAUGGACGCAAGUCUGAUGGAGCAACGCCGCGUGAGUGAAGAAGGGUUUCGGCUCGUAAAGCUCUGUUGUUGGUGAAGAAGGACAGGGGUAGUAACUGACCUUUGUUUGACGGUAAUCAAUUAGAAAGUCACGGCUAACUACGUG
rnacentral:rRNA from 1 species